GGAUGUGAGGGUGAUCUGGGUGUGACAUCUGUCACACCAUUGAUUGCCAGGGUUGAUUAGGCUGAUCUGGCUGGCUAGGUGGGUGUUCCCUUCCUCCCUCACUGCUCCAUCUGCAUCCCUCCCGAAGUUUUGUGCUCAGUUGAAGAAGACGACCACCCCAAUAGAGAAGGACCAUUCUUCGGUCAAGGGUAUACAAGUAGCUGUGCUCCCCUGCUAGAACCCCCAAACAAGCUCUCCAGGUAGCUGGGCCAAGUUAGGGAGGUGGGUUAGGGAAGUCUCCAUUGAGUUUGAGACCGAAAUUUUCAAAACAGAUAAGAUUCAAUCU
rnacentral:snRNA from 1 species